CCUACGGGAGGCAGCAGUGAGGAAUAUUGCUCAAUGGGCUUACGCCUGAACCAGCCACGUCGCGUGAGGGAAGACUGCCCUAUGGGUUGUAAACCUCUUUUGCCAGGGAGCAACGCCGGCUACGUGUAGACGGACUGAGAGUACCUGAAGAAAAAGCAUCGGCUAACUCCGUGCCAGCAGCCGCGGUAAUACGGAGGAUGCGAGCGUUAUCCGGAUUUAUUGGGUUAAAAGGGUGCGUAGGCGGAAUGCCAAGUCAGCGGGAAAAUCGCGGGGCUCAACCUCGCUCCGCUGUUGAAACUGGCGUUCUGGAGUGGGCGAGAGGUAAGCGGAAUGCGGGGUGUAGCGGUGAAAUGCGUAGAUAUCAGGCAGAACUCCGGUGGCGAAGGCAGCAUACCGGCGCCCAACUGACGCUGAGGCACGAAAGCGUGGGUAGCGAACAGGAUUAGAUACCCGUGUAGUC
rnacentral:rRNA from 1 species